rnacentral:tRNA from 1 species
CGCGAAACGAAGACUACCUAGGCUACGAAGGCAACGGAAGCGUAUUUCCAGGGCCAAACCACUUUGACUUUG